rnacentral:rRNA from 1 species
CCUACGGGGGGCAGCAGUGAGGAAUAUUGGUCAAUGGGCGGGAGCCUGAACCAGCCAAGUCGCGUGAGGGACGACGGUCCUAUGGAUUGUAAACCUCUUUUGUCGGGGAACAAAGGCGCCCACGGGUGGGCGGAUGAGUGUACCCGAAGAAAAAGCAUCGGCUAACUCCGUGCCAGCAGCCGCGGUAAUACGGAGGAUGCGAGCGUUAUCCGGAUUUAUUGGGUUUAAAGGGUGCGCAGGCGGGCUGUUAAGACGGCGGUAAAAAUUCAGGGCUCAACCCUGUCGAGCCGUCGGAACUGGCAGUCUUGAGUGGGCGAGAAGUAUGCGGAAUGCGUGGUGUAGCGGUGAAAUGCAUAGAUAUCACGCAGAACGCCGAUUGCGAAGGCAGCAUACCGGCGCCCAACUGACGCUGAGGCACGAAAGCGUGGGGAUCGAACAGGAUUAGAUACCCCGGUAGUC